UCGAAUAAAAUUGAAGUUUUAGUUAAUGUUUGAUAGCUGGCAGAUUAGAACUGUCAACUUGUGCGAAUUUUUAGAGGGUCUUAACGACUUCAUUUGGGAAAACUUCCUUCAUGAGAGUUGUAGCCCUUUAAGUCUAGAAAAUUCUCGAAGUGGAAUCAGGUCAUUCCGACCUCUGUAGCUCGAGAUAUCAUCGGUUUAGUGACGAUGAUCCUGGCUGUACAGUACCAGCGGAUUUAAUUGAUGUGUUUCCUUUCAAUUCCGAGUGUGAUCGUGAUAUUACUAAAAAGGACUGAGGUUUUUGAUUAGUUUCAGUUCUGAGUAAGUUCUUAAGUGAUGGGGUCAAGGGUUUUGACUUGGGUUGGGCUUGAAAGAAAACAAACCCUAGCCCAAGAGAGGGGACGCAGGCUAUGAAGGGUCUUGGGAGGGAAAGGGUUUCUUUUCACACUAUUCUGAAGAAAGAAACCUGGUGCACUUCUGAAACACGUAAAACAGAGGAGAAAGAGUGAGAGAAACUUUCCCCUUGCACCCUAGCCGUCACCGUCCCAAGCCCCACCACCGUCGACGUGUUCGCACAAGAGGGAGAAGGAGUUCGCGAGCGAGAGGGAGAGAGGAAGGUCACGCGUGGGAGAAGAGGAGAGAAACCAGAACCUUGCUCUUCACUUUCAUCUUUUCUUCAAGCCUAAGGACAAAGAUGGUCGUGAAGAUAAUGGCGAUGACUCAUUCUUGGGAGUUGAUGCUACGUGACGUGCCAAUACUGGAGGACGACUACACUUUAGAGGAAGAGGAAGAGGCUAAAGAAUAGGGUUUGGGUUGAGAGUCUUUUGUUUUCUGUUGGGGUUGAGAGUUUCCGAAGUGUUGGUAUCGAACAAUUUUAUUGCUUAAAUUCGAAUGAACAAGUUUUGAUGUAAUCUUUAUUUUCAUUCAGGCCUUUGUUUCGUACUCUUUACAGUUGGUUAUUUAAAAAGUUUUACGAAGUUGGUUACUUCCGCGUGUUUUUUGGAAAGGUUAUGUUUCAAGAGUUUUUGUAAAAUGAAAGGUUUGUCAUUAAUUGAAGAUUAAUAAGUGAAUCGACGAAAACUCUUUAUGAAAAUUGGUUAAUUAGUUACUGUGUAACACUCGAGAAAUCGGGGCGUUACAAAAAUAAUCUGGGAAUGCCAUGAUAGUAGACUAACUCAUCUUCCGGGCAGUUCUCGCAGACUAACUCAUCUUCCAAGACAUCGCCCAUAGACCAACUCAUCUUCUAGGGCAUUGCCAGUAGACCUGUAAGACCAUGAUUUGGUUCUGUUGUACAUCUCUAGGUUUUUAUGAUAACAAGCAUAUAUUUGUGGAUGAACAAUUUUGGUACUCUAACGAUUGUCUUUUAAGUGUUUGACAAACAGGUUUUGAUUCAGAUCAAGAGAUAAAUUCAUCAGAAGUAAAAUACCAAACAUUGACCAUUAAUCCGCUUCUGCACUCACUACGUUCUGAUGAACGGUAGAAUAUUCCUUCAGAAGUUAUGAAGUUGAAUCUCUGAUAAAGGGUUAUGAAGAUGAUGACUCUGAAGACUUGAAGAUUUGAUAAAGGGUUAUGAAGAUCAAGAUGAAGCUCUAAGUGAACGUUCAAAGACUUUGAAGACUUGAAGAUUCUGAAGACGCAAAGAAAGUUGGUUCUGAAGACCAGAAGUUCUGAGUGAACGGUCCAGAUGCUGAAGACUUGAAGUUCUGAAGAUCCAAGCAACCUCGUGACUCUGAUUUGAAACUUCACUAGUUCCAAUGAGAAGCGCCUCUGAAGAUCAGAAGUUAAAAGGAAAAGGCAUGUGUCACUAUCAAAAGUACAAGCGCAGUGUACUAUUAUGACCGCCUACCUAACGAGGAUCAGCCACAGCAGGUUCUGGAAAUUCCAGAAGUGCCCUCCAACGGAUAGAAUCCUUCUACAGAUACACCACGUGAAGCUUGGUGUAUAUGAAGGCCAAAGGAAGAAAUAGCUAAGAGAUACCAUUGUAAUCAAAAUACACUCAAGUGAAUACCUUAUCAAUCUAUUUCUUCAUUGUUAUAAAAUCUGUUUACAAUUGCUUGUUUAGAAGCACUUCAUUGUAAACUCAAACUUGUUCAAAUCGGUUUGUAAUUCCUUAAGGGACAAGUUUAGGUCAAAAUAAUAAAAAGAAAGUAAAAUUGCCAAAAA